rnacentral:rRNA from 1 species
UACGUAGGGUGCAAGCGUUAAUCGGAAUUACUGGGCGUAAAGCGUGCGCAGGCGGUUUUGUAAGUCUGACGUGAAAUCCCCGGGCUUAACCUGGGAACUGCGUUUGAAACUACAAGGCUAGAGUGUGGCAGAGGGGGGUGGAAUUCCACGUGUAGCAGUGAAAUGCGUAGAGAUGUGGAGGAACACCGAUGGCGAAGGCAGCCCCCUGGGUUAACACUGACGCUCAGGCACGAAAGCGUGGGGAGCAAACAGG